ACUGGAGUUUGAUCCUGGCUCAGAAUGAACGCUGGCGGCAGGCCUAACACAUGCAAGUCGAACGGACCCUUCGGGGUUAGUGGCGGACGGGUGAGUAACACGUGGGAACGUGCCUUUAGGUUCGGAAUAGCUCCUGGAAACGGGUGGUAAUGCCGAAUGUGCCCUUCGGGGGAAAGAUUUAUCGCCUUUAGAGCGGCCCGCGUCUGAUUAGCUAGUUGGUGGGGUAAUGGCCCACCAAGGCUACGAUCAGUAGCUGGUCUGAGAGGAUGACCAGCCACAUUGGGACUGAGACACGGCCCAAACUCCUACGGGAGCAGCAGUGGGGAAUCUUGCGCAAUGGGCGAAAGCCUGACGCAGCCAUGCCGCGUGUAUGAUGAAGGUCUUAGGAUUGU
rnacentral:rRNA from 1 species